rnacentral:tRNA from 1 species
UAAAGAAUAGUUUAUUUAGAAUUCUGGCUUUGGGGGCCAGAGGUGGGGGUUAAAAUCCUUCUUCUUUAA